UUUCUUCAGUCAAAAUAAUGCUUCGCAGCGUCUCAAUAUUAUUUUCGUUUAUCGGUUCUGGAUUUGGGUGGCCUGAUUCAUGCUUGACGAAUGAUGCUUGCAGCAAUUUCUUGGAUGAAUGUACCAAAUCUGGAUGUAAGGUAGCAUUCGGGAGGUUGGCCGGACUUAUGGUAGGGAUUUUAAUCACAUUAAGUCUAUUUAGUUGCAUCUGUGCCUGUUUUGUACGAAGGUGGUAAAUAUUUUUACGAAAGACUUGAACUAAAUACACAAAUCCGAUAAAAUUUUGGUCAGACAUGUACGCAACAAUCCAUCCGUUCUACCACAAACCCAAAGUUUACCGAAUACAACCGAUUUGCCGCAGGCGUUUUUACCGAAUACAGCCAAUGGGCCACAGACAAUGAACACAGCAAAUCCAACAACAGGAGUUUCCUAUCAUCGAGAUUGCUGUGUAUGCCAAUAAACGUUCUGGUGAUCCUUUAGAUUUCUAAGUAAAUUCAAAUCCUGACAACUUUUCUUUAAAUUUGACGUCAAAAUAUCGAAGUGAUGAAUGUCAUACUGGUAUGAAAGAAUUUAAGACAUAAUACAUCGUCACUC